UACCGGUUUCUCUUCUCCCCACGGAAUCUUCCCCCGCAUCCCUUGCCUUCACGAGAUCCUCCUCGAUGCCGCCGAGGCGGCGGCGGCGAGCGCCCCCCACCAAACCGCAGCCGGAGGAGCCACCAGGCGCCGACGCGCCGUUGGAGGAGCGCCUGGCAUGGGAAAGCCACCAAGAAAGUGAACGCCAGAUUACUGCCAUCAAAGCAAUAAAAAAAGCAGAGGCUGGGGACAUAUGUUCUUGGUUGCAAUUGGUGCGGUCCUACUUAUCCAAGGAGCAGCUAGAGGCAAAUGCCUUGGAAUAUUUUCAGGAGAACUUGCCCAAUUUAUCAGCUGUCCCUAAUGAAAAAUAUGAUGUGCUUGAGCUGAAAUGGAAUGGCGGUGACAGAUGCAUAAUUGGAGACUUUGUAGAUGACAAGAAUCUGCAAGCUUCAAUCGCAUCAUUGCCAAAUGCUGGUGGCCUUCAGUGCCCUGGUAUUUCAGUUGGAAAGGAUUUCUAUGGGCACAUUAGCAGUUUCAGUGAUUUUGCUUGUAGUGAGCAGCUACCUGAAGGCCAAAGGGCAGGAGCAGAUGCUUUUCAGACUCCUGGGGUUGUGAGUAACCAGCUGUCCUUCGGCAUGACACCCAAAACCGUAAGGUUACCCAAGAAUGGUGAGAUGCUCCUGUCUGUGCAUGGUUCACCUGUUGGGGUAUACAAAGAAGAAAAUUUAGAAGUUAUUCAGGAAUCUGGUAAUGGAACUGAAGACGCUCCCAGCUAACGCACUAGGAUGUUACCAGCCCUGGAGUCCUUGACAAUAACCUAAGUGCUGCUAAUCAAGAGUUUGACACUGACAAUUUCAAGUAUCGCGAAUCGCUCGGUCUUGAAUGUUUAUACAGGCAGGAAAUGAUGUGGGGUUCAAUCCUUUUUUUCAGUUCCUUUCUUCAUCUUUCUUCCUUGAAUCUUUACGAAACAGGGGUGCCAACUCCUUUUGUGUGCAGAAGAUAAACUGGGAAAGAACCCUGACCCUAAUGAUCCAGCUGAAAUGGUGUAUCAAGUGCGUGGGCACUGUUCUUGUUGGCAUUUCUGUCCGGCCAGGAUGUCAGCAAAAACUCAGUCGAACAAGAGUUGCUUUGUGUAGCUCUAGCCUGUUGACUCACAAGUGUUUAUGGUUUACGAAUGCAUAUCAUUUCCGCCACCUCU